CUACGGGAGGCACCAGUAAGGAAUAUUGCGCAAUGGAGGCAAUUCUGACGCAGCCAUGCCGCGUGCAGGAAGAAGGCCUUAUGGGUCGUAAACUGCUUUUAUUUAGGAAUAAACCCCCGAACGUGUUCGGGGCUGAAGGUACUAAACGAAUAAGCACCGGCUAACUCCGUGCCAGCAGCCGCGGUAAUACGGAGGGUGCAAGCGUUAUCCGGAUUUAUUGGGUUUAAAGGGUGCGCAGGCGGGCUAUUAAGUCAGUGGUGAAAUCCCGGGGCUCAACUCCGGAACUGCCAUUGAUACUGAUAGUCUUGAGUUUGGUUGAAGUGGGCGGAAUGUAGCAUGUAGCGGUGAAAUGCAUAGAUAUGCUACAGAACACCAAUCGCGAAGGCAGCUCACUAAGCCAAAACUGACGCUCAUGCACGAAAGCGUGGGGAUCAAACAGGAUUAGAUACCCCAGUAGUC
rnacentral:rRNA from 1 species